UCAUCAUGGACAGAGCAGGGCGGAGGCUGCUCCUGGUCUUGUCAGGUGCGGUCAUGGUGUUCAGCACGAGUGCCUUUGGCGCCUACUUCAAGCUGACCCAGGGUGGCCCUGGCAACUCCUCGCACGUGGCCGUCUCGGCGCCUGUCUCCGCACAGCCUGUUGAUGCCAGCGUGGGGCUGGCCUGGCUGGCCGUGGGCAGCAUGUGCCUCUUCAUCGCCGGCUUUGCGGUGGGCUGGGGGCCCAUCCCCUGGCUCCUCAUGUCAGAGAUCUUCCCUCUGCAUGUCAAGGGCGUGGCGACAGGCAUCUGCGUCCUCACCAACUGGCUCAUGGCCUUUCUUGUGACCAAGGAGUUCAGCAGCCUCAUGCUCCCGCUGCUGCUCUGCGGACUCGGGAACACCUUCGAGCUUUGCAGACCUGCGGUCAGCCCUCCAUGCGCAACACUAAAGCAGCAGAAGGGGAGGCACAAUGGCUCACACCUUUAAUCCCAGUGAUUUGGGAGGCUGAGGCAGGAGGAUCUCUUGAGCCCAGGAAUUCGAGGCUGCACGCACCUCGGCAUCCGCAUUACCAGUGCUCGCGUGGCAGUCCACUAAUCGGGUGAGAACCAUAUUGCUUUUUGCAUUUCAAUGAAGUAAUAGUAGCAAUUUAUCAAGCACUUUUUUUUCCAGACUGGUAUAAAAUUGUAUGUGCUUCUGUAAACCAUUUAACAAUAAAAGUAAAAUGCAAAGGGGAA
rnacentral:sRNA from 1 species